rnacentral:lncRNA from 10 species
CCAUAUUCUCUCUACAGAUAAAUUAAUCUAUGUAUAUUUUUAAUGGCUUUCUUAUCAUAUUCACUGAGCCAAAGUUCACUGAAGUUCCUUGGCUUUCACUUGUAAGUAAGAAAUAGAGAAUUAUGUCCUAUCACACAUUUCAAAGCAGAUCAGCUGCUCUAGGCAUGUGAUGCACCGUGGGAGCCUCCAGAAUGUGGUCCCUAGUGGGGCUUGGGAGCCUCUAAGACCACACCCCCCUCCAGCCAUAUCAAACAUGUUUCAAAGGAGAUGUUCAGUGGGCUUCAGAUCCAAAGGAAGGUUAGGAACUAUUGGUGUAAAUCAACUAUUUUUCUAAUUUGGCUUCUAUUCUGUUUUAGAUAUUUCUUAAAAGGUGGGCGGCAGGGGGUCUACUAGUGGGAAACAAGAGGGGCAGUUUGCUUUUGGUCUUUCUCUUGUCGCAGGGUAAGAUGCAAAUGCAAACAAAUGCUUCUGCUGCAUCACCUGUGAGUCUGAAUGUCUGCACAUGUGUUGGUUUAUUAAAUUUUUAGAAGAAAAGUACCAGGAGGGCAUGAUUUGUGUUAUUUUGGUUAUUUUUCUUAUACAAACAGUCACCACUUCCUUAAAUCUGGUACCUUAAAUCUGUAACUCCAGCUGUAGCUUCUCUCCAUGGGAUACAGCAUGCAUGCAUAUGGCUCACUGCGCUGCUUCAAUAUCUUUAGGAAACCCUUGGUUUAUAAUGCUCCCCAGAUGUUCACUUUUUACAAAUCCUUUUCUGAUGAACCUAUUCUAGCAAGGCUGAAAUGGAAACAGUUCAAGAAUGUAUUUCUGUCAGCUUUUCACCACCAAAGUUGGAGAGUUAAAGGAUACCUGGGUUUCAUAGUGAAUGGCAAUGGUGAAGUCCACAGGAAAGGGAAUGUUGUUGACAGCAAAUCUCAAGCCAGCCCCAGGGAGAACCCUGGCAAAUCCAGGUCCAGUCCAUGUAACAGGGUUCCCAGGAACUGGCUCUCCUAAAACAACGUGAACAGCAGGACUCUGGCCAAACGUCUCCGAGCCCUAAAAUGGGAGAGGAAUGUAAAUAGCUUUGCCUACAGUCAAGGCCUGAAAGAGUUCAAGAAAACCAGUCCCCCACUGCACCACCCCCUGUAUUUCCUGGUGUGUAUAUGAUUCAUAUGAGUCACAGAUAAAUUAUUCUAAGCAGGAUACAGUCCAGAAUCCAGCUGAGAAUAAUGUGCUAAUACUGCAGCUUUGGAACAUAUGUUACUGUAUAGAAUGAUUGAUUUGAAAGCAGUGUUCCGGGAAGCGACUUUAAUUUUAAGUACCCCCUGUGCUAAUGAACUGAGCAAAUUCCACAUUGAUAACCUUGGGUUUUCUUGGAUAUGACUGCGGAGUUCUUCCCAAAAUAUGGAGGCUAUUCCCAUGCCCACUUUACAGAUUUUGCCUAAUUGGGCAUGACAAUGAGAAAACCCACAUGGAUUUAUUUUCUAGAUACUUCUUCCAUGCAAAAUGAGAAACGCUCUUCUUCUAUCUGCUUGGGAGCAUAUAGUGCACAACACGGGCCAAUGAACACAGAAUUCUGGUGGACCUACUAUGCCUGGGAUUUCAGUGAGACUCAAAGUGAGUGCAAGUCACCAUCAUAAAGAUUCAAUAUUCAAGACCACGAAGAAGAACCCAGACCAGGGAUUGCUUCAUUUGGAUUCCACCUACCGCAGUUGUUACAUCUAAGUAGGGACAACGAAAAUCUCCUGCUAUGGUCUUGAUCCUAGUCAGUAAAAGAGCAAAUUCCAAGCCUCCUAAGGGGCAUUUUCAUCCUUCCCCAUCUGUCCUUACAGAUAAGGAAGAGAUUCCAGGAAUGACUCGGUUCCUGGAACCUAGAAUUAGUCCCCCUUGUUUUCUUUAUCUAUCCAAAUCCUGUCUUAGGGAUCAACUUUCACAAGCUUUCUCUCCUUAAAGACUUUCACCUCGAAUUACCUUUUUUUUUUGUCAUAUUCCUAUUCCUAUCUGGAGUCACACUCUUGAGAACCUUCUAUACUUUCGUCAUGCAUUUAUUAGCAGAUAUCUAUAAAGUUCCUACAGUGUGUCAGGCACUGUGCUAGGCGCUAGUGCAACAAUGAUGAAUGCUAUACACAUCCACCUCACCCUUUUAUAGUUUAUAGUAUCAUGGGGAGAUGGAGAAGUAGAUGCUCAAUAAACACAUUUUGUCUGAUGGGUAUACCUUGAAACAGCAAAAGUAAAGUCUGUUUCAUCAUAAUUUGAUCCGUUCACAUUUAUGGGCCAGAUCCUGUGGUAGACCUGGGAUACAAAGAUGAACUAAACAGAGACUCUGCUCUCAAGAGUUUAUAUAAUCUGCAUUUGCAGGUUAUAAUAAACUCUGAUCUGCAUCUUUGGGCAAAAGCAUUCUUUUCUAGGUAUCUUAACCACGAUCUCAAGUAUGUGCUCUGUGUGUUUACUGACAUAUCAUCAAACACAGUCUGUAGGGAAAGUAAAUGAAAUACGAACCAAAGGCGCCAGUCCUUGGAGUGUUGUGGCUUCCUCUGCCUCGUAGAGAUAGAAAUUCAAAGGAGCAAAGAAGUAGCCAGGGGCUGGUUCAGAGCAGCUACGGCCAGUGACAUGUGGGCGGCAUUCACACUGCCCAUUCUUGGGUGAGCACCUGAGGAAAAAGCAAUUCAUCAUGAAAAAAUGCAAAGUAGGUGAGCGGAAAAUGAAGGUGUAGGGGUGCUGGGCUAAUGCUCCCUGAGUUUGGAGCAAUCCUUAGAAUCAGUCAAUCAAUGGUCCUGUGGGAAGAUGCAGAAAGGCCAUGGGUUUAACAUAACUGGUCUUGAAUAGUGAAUCCAGGGCCAUGGAGCCCAGGCGGCCACUUUCCCCACCCUCCGCCCCCAACCCCCCACUGCCAGGUUCUGCUCUAAAAUCUGGCAAAAAGGGGGCUUUAGGAUCUCUCUUUACAACAUGGCAAAAAGCUGGUGUUUUAGGCAGGUCACACGUAUUCAAGCACCCAUGCCACCAGCUUGUGGUGGGAUACCCAGCAGAAGGAUUGUUUACCUCACCCUUGGAAAUAUUUGAAGUGAAAGAAAUCAAUGGGCUGUAGUUAAUGUCUCAAGAUCAUUGCUUGUCAUGGAAUGAAAUUUUUCACCUAUGACUAUGAGCGUAUCAGAAUAAAAUGUGCUUUUAUGUUUAAAUAAGGAAUAUUGCUAUAAAACUUAUUUGACUUACACGUUAGAAUAAGCACCUCCAAUAUCACAGUCACAGGGAGAACACCCAUGGAGAUGAUUUCCCAGGCCCCAGUAUCCAACCUACAGAGAAAAAAUGCUCAGCUGAUUCCAGCUAUGAAGAUGCUGUUGCUCUGAAGUGCAACACUGAAAUCACUACAAUGCAAUUGCCACACGUCAAAUAGCCAAACAGCCUGCACCAUCUCAGAGAAACCUUCCUGGCCUAUGCGCUUGGCUAAUGAUCUUCCAUGGACACAUCUCCCAUCUCCAGGAUUUGA